UGGCAUGUCAUCCGGGCCUUCAAGUGUAUGCUUCCAAGGAGCAGAUGUACCUUCAGGCACUAUCUUGUUGAGGAAGGUUUCAGUAUCACUCCGAACAUCCAAAUCAUAGUUUUCAUUGAUGGUAAGAGAGGCACUCGUAUGCUGCAAGAAGAUAUGAGCAAGGCCACAUUUGAAUUCUGAUAAGUCUUGCCCAAUUUCUUUUAUUAUCUUCGGGGUGAUGAGAUGACAGCCCCGCCUAUGAGGAGGCAGCGUAACAGUCUUCUGAGCCCACUUCGGACCAGCGGCCGCCAUCAAGCUUGGAUUGCCAGAGCGUGCGGUUGCGGACGGAUUACCAGUACUGGAAUUGCUGCUCCACGA
rnacentral:misc_RNA from 1 species